rnacentral:rRNA from 1 species
GACGAACGCUGGCGGCGUGCUUAACACAUGCAAGUCGAACGAAGUGGCGAACGGGUGAGUAACGCCUAAUCAACCUGCCCUUCAUAGGGGGACAACAGUUGGAAACGACCGCUAAUACCGCAUACUGAAGGAGGGUCUGGCGUCUGAUUAGCUAGUUGGAGGGGUAACGGCCCACCAAGGCGAUGAGCAGUAGCCGGGCUGAGGGGAUGAACGGCCACAUGGGGACUGAGAGAUGGCCCAAACGCCUACGGGAGGAAGCAGUGGGGAAUCUGCCGCAAUGGACGAAAGUCUGACGGAGCAACGCCGCGGGGGUGAUGAGGGCCUGCGGGUUGUAAAGCUCUGUUAAUCGGGACGCGGUACCGGAAUAGAAAGCCACGGCUAACUACGUGCCAGCAGCCGCGGUAAUUC